UCAGUUUCUCAGUACUUCACCCUAAUCAAAGGUUACAGGAAUUAUCAGCAUUUGCUCACUUGGGGAACUCCAGAAAGCCUCAUAGGAUUGCAAGAGGAAAUAAAGGACAAAAGGCAAAGCCCGUGCACCUGUGCUGAGCAGCAAGAGCAGGGCACAGACAAAAAUACUAUUAUCAUCAGGAUGGAGCAGAGCUACUACUGAAAGGGCUGACUGUGGCUGAUUUUCGAGAGGGGACACAGAAAGUGAUGCAUGGUGAAGAGCCACCACCUUGGUGAAGGACAAAGAGAGAAAAUGCUGUGUUGAGUGAAAGCUGAAGAUGUAGACACUACAGCAAAACAACUGGAGGAAGAUCAACAGAAGAAGGAUCAGCUGAUGAAAGAGAAAGAGAAAUGGGACCAGGAGCAUGUGAAACAUUUGACUGAGAAGAUGGAGAAGGAACAGGCCCAGAUGACGAGGAGCAACAGGGGAUCAUUGAGCAUAUUAUCUAUGUCCUCUUCUUUUAAAAAAUUUUUUUAAGUGAAGUUGUGUGUGUGUGUGUGUGAGAGAGAGAGAGAGAGAGAGAGAGAGAGAGAGAGAGAGAAUGUGUUAUUUUCUUGUAUGUAUGUCAUAUCUGUAUUGGCUGGUAAAAAAAAGUGAGAUUCCCUGGAGCUGGAGCUCUAAAUGGUUGUGAGCCACCUGACUUGGAUGUUCAGAAUUGAAUUGCAGUCUGUAUACACAGUUUACAACUGUAAAAAUAUCUCAGCUCUUUCUCAUAAUGGGAUCUACAAAGGUAGUUUUUCCAUUUUAUCUGGUAUGAAUUUAUUCCAAAGAGAGUGUUAUGGUGAGAGAAAUGCUUUAACCCUCACAAGUAUGUGACAGUCUGUCUAUCCCUCCUCUUUCUGGUACUCUGCUCUCAAUUUGUGUUCAGUUGGCAGUUUGUUGAGGAAAUUCAUUGUCUUCAUUCUGGGACUCUUUACUUUACUUUACCUAUCACUCUGCUACCAAGCAGUGGAUGCUCACACCAGAUUUCUUCUCCCAUCACUGCUCUCUCUCUUUCUGUGUGAGUUCCUUUGUAUAUUUGUGCUUGCUUGUGUCGGUACAUGGAUGUGAAGGCCACAGGUGUCCAAAUCUUCCUCCAUUACUCUUCCACCAUAGUUUUUGAGACAGGGUCUCUCACUGAAACCAGAGUUCACUUUGGGCUAGCCUGGCUGGCCUACUGGUUUCAAGGAUCUGCCUAUAUCUGCCUCCCCAGACUGGCAUUACACCACAUUGCUGCAUCUAGUUUUUACAUGUGUGCUUGGGUGUCCAGAUCAGGUCCUCAGGUUCAUGCACCAGGAAUGUUCCUGACUCAGCCAAGCAUUCCCCACAAAGUUUCUCAGACUAAGAUUCAGAGCCUUAGGUCAGAUUUUCAGAAUUCAUCUGUAUGGUGCAUGUUUACAUAAAAUAUGAAUAUGGGGGUCUAAGUAAGGUCUAUAGUGCUACAACUUGAAGUCAGACAUGGUUAAGAACAUCUACAGAGGAUAUGGACCACUGAUAAGGAAAAUAAUCAAUACUAGUCACUUAGGUCCAUAAAUAGAAUUGUUCUACUUUAAUGUGCCCUAGGCAUGAAUAGCUUUGGCCACAAAGGCAACAUCAAGCUAGGAUGAAAAAGGACUGUUAUCUGCAAUGCCCCGGACUGAAAUAAGAACACCAGCAUCAACAAGAUGUCUCCUUGCGAAGGGCUGGAAUUGUUUCUUAGCUACAACACCCCCCCAAAAAAAAAAGACUUGAUCCCACAGCUACCCAAAAAAAACAUGAUUUGGGGAGGAGAAAAAUUCAAAAAAGAAAACAACAUUUCUUUGCAUAUUAAAUUUUACAUAGAGACGAAAACAGGUUAAAGUUCUGGAUAGAUAUCACUAACAAAAAUUAAAUCAAGAACAGAUUAGCAAUUUUAGCAGACCUAUAACCCCUAAUGAAAUAGAAACAGUCAUCAAAAUUCACGCAACCAAAAAAUCCCAGGGCCAGAUAGCUUCUUUGUAUAAUUCUACCAGAAGUUCAAAGAACAGCUAAUACCAAUAUUCCUCAAAAUGUUCCACACAAUUGAAGCAGAAGGGCCAUUGCCAAACAAUUUUUAGGAGACUAUAAUUACCUUGGUACCCAAGUCACACAAAGACACAAUUAAGAAAGGGAACUACAGACCAAUAUCCCCAACGAGCACUGAUGCAGAAAUAUUCAAUAAACCACUGGCAAAUUGAAUCUAAUAACACAACAUAAAAAUCAUCCACCAUGAUCAAGUAGGCUUCAUCCCAGGGAUGAUUCAACAUAGGAAAAGCCAUCAAUGUAA